UCCCUGGUGGUCCAGUGGUUAGGACUCUGCGCUUUUACUGCCGAGGGCUCGGGUUCAAUACCUGGUCAGGGAG